rnacentral:rRNA from 1 species
UACGGGAGGCAGCAGUGGGGAAUAUUGGGCAACGGGCGAAGGCCUGACCCAGCGACGCCGCGUGAGGGAAGAAGGUCUUCGGAUUGUAAACCUCUUUCAGCAGGGAAGAAGGAAGUGACGGUACCUGCAGAAGAAGCCACGGCUAACUACGUGCCAGCAGCCGCGGUAAU